rnacentral:misc_RNA from 1 species
GAUGAAGAACGCAGCGAAAUGCGAUAAGUAAUGUGAAUUGCAGAAUUCAGUGAAUCAUCGAAUCUUUGAACGCACAUUGCGCCCCCUGGUAUUCCGGGGGGCAUGCCUGUCCGAGCGUCAUUGCUGCCCUCAAGCACGGCUUGUGUGUUGGGCCUCCGUCCUCCUCCCGGGGGGCGGGCCCGAAAGGCAGCGGCGGCACCGCGUCCGGUCCUCGAGCGUAUGGGGCUUCGUCACCCGCUCUUGUAGGCCCGGCCGGCGCUUGCCGACACAUCAAUCUUUUUUCCAGGUUGACCUCGGAUCAGGUAGGGAUACCCGCUGAACUUAAGCAUAUCAAUAAGCGGAGGA